rnacentral:rRNA from 1 species
CACGCCGUAAACGAUGAGCACUAGGUGUCGGGGGAGCGAUCCUUCGGUGCCGUAGUUAACGCAUUAAGUGCUCCGCCUGGGGAGUACGCACGCAAGUGUGAAACUCAAAGGAAUUGACGGGGACCCGCACAAGCAGCGGAGCAUGUGGUUUAAUUCGAAGCAACGCGAAGAACCUUACCAGGGCUUGACAUCCCUCUGACCGUCUCUUAAUCGAGACUUCUCUUCGGAGCAGAGGUGACAGGUGG